CUCUGUCUCUUAAAAACAAUAACAAAAAAAAGUCUUGGUGUAUGUGCAUGGUUGAGAAGCCAACAGGGCGAAGCUACCAUCUGUGGGACUAUGACUGAAGGCCUCUAAGUCAGAAUCCUGUCCAGGCGGAAAAACAGGGCAAUGCCGCAGGGCCUUGGAUAGCCUCAGCUACUGGUCCCCUGCUGCCGGCGGGACACUCUGCCCUACCACGCAUGGGGACAUGGGUCUGGUGCAGAAAGCCCCUCUUCCUGGGAAACAAGGUGUGGCAGUAAAGGUGGCCAACCCCUCUCCUGUCACACAACACACGUUCAUGGGGAAACCUGGCACUAAACCUUUCACAGAUGACCUGCUUCUGGGUCAAGGUUUCAUAGGUAGCAGAGCAGCCGCCUCGGUGCAAUCUACUGAAAGUCAGCCCUUGACACAAGAGUUU
rfam:Chlorocebus sabaeus isolate 1994-021 chromosome 21, whole genome shotgun sequence.